rnacentral:RNase_P_RNA from 1 species
UGAGUAGAAAGGAUAAUCGCGUAAAUUACGAGGAAAGUCCGUGCACCAUAGAGCAGGAUGCUGGAUAACGUCCAGUGAGGGCGACCUUAAGGCUAGUGCAACAGAAAUAAACCGCCAAUAUUGGUAAGGAUGGAAAGGCGAGGUAAGAGCUCACCAGUGUAUAGGCGACUAUACAGCUAUGUAAACCCCAUCUGGUGCAAGAUCAAAGUGGUACAAAAGUGGCUGCUCGUCACCCUAAGGUAGAUCGCUUGAACUUACUGGUAACAGUAAGUCUAGAUAGAUGAUUAUCAUAACAGAACACGGCUUAUUUUUCUGGUCACAAA